rnacentral:miRNA from 1 species
CUUUGUACUCAGGUCCCUGUUCGGGCGCCAGGUGUCCCAACCAGGGGGGGGACAG